GGGCUUUGCACACACACACACAGUCUCAAAGGGGAACAACAACAACAAAAAACGAUCUUCCAACCGUCGUCAUGCCUGAGAGUAGCUUUCUUUCCACCAAGGGUUGGACACGGACGUCGCUCCGGUCAGACUAGCAAACGGAAACCUUUAUGCCUUCCACCCUCCCAGCUCCGGUCUCUCUCAGGUAGGGUUAUUGGAAAGGACUGCUUGCAUUAGAACUCCAACCCCCUGGGGAAGCCUCACAGCAGUGCUUGCUAUAAAUGCAGUUCACGGUGGAACGCGGCUAGGACUCAAGGAACCUGUAGUUUGAGAGCCGCAGGGAAUUUCGGCGCCUGAAGUCUGACAGGCUUUGUCUCAAAGCGCAGUGCAAAGCGCCAGGGUGCGCCCGGGUCGCUGCAGGUCCCGUGGCUGCGCUGGGCACGCAUGGAAGCCAUCAGUAACUGCAGCAUUGUAAGGAUUCGGCCAGACAACCUACGUUCUCCUCACCCCGCAGCUCCGGAAUUUGGGAAUCAGGGAGAACGCUCUUGGUUUGAAUCUCCCGCCGCUGGGCCACCGCCCCUCUCCGUCGCCUUGGUCGGACAAGACACUUCCGGUCCGCUGCGCAGAGAGUCCUGGGAUUUGUAGUCCCGGGCCGCAGAGACCGCCGCCCAGGCAAACAGCGGGCAGCCUAGGCUGAGCCUCAGGGCAGAAAAAGGGAAAAGACCCCGUGGCCGGCGCUGUGGUGCAGUGGGUAAAGCCACCACCUGCAGUGCUGGCAUCCCACAUGGACACCGGUUUGAGUCCCAACUGCUCCACGUCCAAUCCAGCUCUCUGCUGUGGCCUGGGAAAGCAGCAGAAGAUGGCCCAAGUCCUUGGGCCCCUGCAUCCAGGUGGGAGACCCAGAAGAAUCUUCUGGCUCCUGGCUUCGGAUCGGCCCAGCUCUGGCCAUUGUGGCCAUUUGGGAAGUGAACCAGCAGAUGGAUGACCUCUCUGCCUCUGCUUCUUUAUAACUCUGCCUUUCAAAUAAAUAAAUGAAGCUUUUAAAAAAUAGAAAUAAAAAGGGAAAGAUCCAAACCCAGAACCCUCAGACAAGUUAAGGCUGAGGCAAACUUGCCUAGGAAGAGGUUUGAAGAGAGUGGAUAUUUCUUUGAAGAAAAGGAGUGGUUCCCCUUGCCUCUCAUCAGCUGAGAGAAGUAGAGAGAAUCUGGAUGCUUGGGGCUCCUGGCCAUGGGGGUCCUAUUCCUGCUUCCUGGGAGGGCCCCCAGAACAAGAUGCCGAGAAGGAACCGUUGAUAAUGAGUCGGGCAGAUAUGCCCUUAGACAGCUGGGCUGAAACCCCCUUCCCAGCUGGAAAGGAAGAUCUUGAAUGAGGUUCCUCACUUCUGCUUGGGACAAGGGUCCCUGGGCCAGAAAGACCCAGGCAGGGGCCAGCAUUGAGCUGCCUCUUUCAUCCCAUAUGGGCGCCAGUUCUAGUCACGGCUGUUCCACUUCCAAUCCAGCUCCCUGCUAAUGCGCCUAGGAAAGCAGUAGAAGAUGGCCCAAGUCCUUGGGCCCCUGCCACCCACAUGGGAGACCUAGAUGACAUUCCUCAAUCCUGGCUUUGGCCUGGCCCAGCCCCAACUGAUGCAGCCUUUUAGAGAGACCAUCAGGGGUCGGCGCUGUGGUGUAGUGGGUAAAAACGCCACCUGCAGUACCGGCAUCCCAUAUGGGCACCGGUUCAAGUCCCGAUGCUCCACUUCUGAUCCAGCUCUCUGCUAUGCCCUGGGAAAGCAACAGAAGAUGGCCCAAGUGCUUGGUCCCCUGCACCUGUGUGGGAGACCUGGAAGAAACUCCUGGCUCCUGGCUUUGGAUCGGCCCAGCUCCAGCCAUUGUGGCCAGUUGGAGAGUGAGCCAGCAGAUGGAAGACCUCUUUCUCUUUCUCUGUCUGCCUCUCUUCUCUCUGUGUAAUGCUGACCUUCAAAUAAAUAAAUAAAUCUUAAAAAAGAAGAGACCAUCAGUAGAUGGAAGAUCUCUUUCUCUCUCUGUCUCUCCCUCUCUCUCUCUCUCUGUAGCUCUGCCUUUUAAAUAAGUAAAAGAGCUCACAAAUGUGUAGAGCAAUAUUUAAACCCAGACAGUCCCCCUCCAAGCUUGAGUUCUUAACCACUAUAAAGUACACCACGUCCAAGGCCACGGACAUGAGGCUGCAGAAGAGGCGACCGUGGAGAGGGAUUUCAAUAGGCCGAGGCUGAGUCAGGGAGAGAGGAGUCAAGGGCGACUUCUGGUUUCCAGCUUGGGCGGGGGGUGUGGGGGGUUUGAGCUGGGGAAAUGCAAGUUUUGUUUGAAGAAGGGUACAUUUAGAAAUGAUUGGCGUAUUUGGUGGUGCUGAACGCACAGGAGCGGGUGAAGUGUUCUGGGAAGAAUAGGUAAAUGAAGAAGAGAAAAUAGCGAGGGGCAGAGGAUUGGGGGACCCUAGCAACUGGGAGGUGCUCAGAGGGCCCAGCAGAGGAGAUGGGGAAAGGAAGGAUCCAUGGGGGUCGUGGAAGCCCAGUGCGGAGGGCGUUGCCAGAAAUGGCGGCCACAGCAGGGAAUCAAGCCAGGAAGGCCUUCAGCAGUGACCGCUGAGUCUUUGGCAGGUCCAGUCCCACCCCUCCCCCACU